CCUACGGGUGGCUGCAGUGGGGAAUAUUGGACAAUGGGCGAAAGCCUGAUCCAGCCAUGCCGCGUGUGUGAAGAAGGCCUUCGGGUUGUAAAGCACUUUCAGUGGGGAAGAAAGCCUUGGGGCUAAUACCCUCGAGGAAGGACAUCACCCACAGAAGAAGCACCGGCUAACUCCGUGCCAGCAGCCGCGGUAAUACGGAGGGUGCGAGCGUUAAUCGGAAUUACUGGGCGUAAAGCGCGCGUAGGCGGUCUGAUAAGCCGGUUGUGAAAGCCCCGGGCUCAACCUGGGAACGGCAUCCGGAAAGGUCAGGCUAAGGGGCAAGAGGGGGAGGUAAAAACCCCGGUGGAGCGGUGAAAAGGGGUGGGGACGGGAGGGAUACCAAGGGGCGAGGCGGCCUUUUGGACUUGCACUGACCCUGGGGGGGGAAAGCGGGGGUAGGAAACAGGGAUAGAUACCCCGGUAGUC
rnacentral:rRNA from 1 species